rnacentral:tRNA from 1 species
GCGGAAGUAGUUCAGUGGUAGAACCCCACCUUGCCAAGGUGGGGGUCGCGAGUUCGAACCUCGUCUUCCGCUCCA